UACGAAGGGGGCUAGCGUUGCUCGGAAUCACUGGGCGUAAAGCGCACGUAGGCGGAUUGCUAAGUCAGGGGUGAAAUCCUGGAGCUCAACUCCAGAACUGCCUUUGAUACUGGCAAUCUCGAGUCCGGGAGAGGUGAGUGGAACUGCGAGUGUAGAGGUGAAAUUCGUAGAUAUUCGCAAGAACACCAGUGGCGAAGGCGGCUCACUGGCCCGAUACUGACGCUGAGGUGCGAAAGCGUGGGGAGCAAACAGG
rnacentral:rRNA from 1 species